rnacentral:rRNA from 1 species
AUUGAACGCUGGCGGCAGGCCUAACACAUGCAAGUCGAACGGCAGCGGGGGAUAGCUUGCUAUCCUGCCGGCGAGUGGCGGACGGGUGAGUAAUGCAUGGGGAGCUGCCCAGUCGAGGGGGAUAACAACUGGAAACGGUUGCUAAUACCGCAUACGCCCUAAGGGGGAAAGGUGGGGAACUUCGGUCCUACCGCGAUUGGAUGCGCCCAUGUGGGAUUAGCUAGUUGGUGAGGUAACGGCUCACCAAGGCGCCGAUCUCUAGCUGGUCUGAGAGGAUGACCAGCCACACUGGAAAUGAGACACGGUCCAGACUCCUACGGGAGGCAGCAGUGGGGAAUAUUGCACAAUGGGGGAAACCCUGAGGCAGCCAUGCCGCGUGUGUGAAGAAGGCCUUCGGGUUGUAAAGCACUUUCAGUCAGGAGGAAGGGGUGAUGGCUAAUAUCCAUCAUCAUUGACGUUACUGACAGAAGAAGCACCGGCUAACUCCGUGCCAGCAGCCGCCGCAG